AUGCUCCUGACCAGGAAUGUGGUAUAUUACACUGAGUAUGAGAAUUCACAGCACCGUUGUGAGGCCACACCACCAAUGAUCAAAAUCCCUUACAGGAUGAUGCUGGAUGUUCUUUUAGAGACUUUAGAGCUUCCAGCGGCUAAGUAUCGAAGCAAAGUAUGUGAUGGCGGUAGAGUAUGCGUCACUGUUUUUUUCCAUACGCCCACAUCAUAUGUUGAAGAUCAUGGCAGUCGUAUGGCUAUUUCUGGGGUGCAGUGUAUCAAUCAUGCUAUGUCAGAGGACACGGCUGCCAUGGAAGAGACUGGAUACAUCAAAUGCAUGGUUAAGACUCAAAGUAAGAGACUACAAUUACAGCAACAUGAAGAGACUGGAUGA
rnacentral:rRNA from 1 species